rnacentral:rRNA from 1 species
GUGGGGAAUAUUGGACAAUGGGCGAAAGCCUGAUCCAGCCAUGCCGCGUGCAGGAUGAAGGCCUUCGGGUUGUAAACUGCUUUUGUACGGAACGAAACGGUCCGGGUUAAUACCCUGGGCUAAUGACGGUACCGUAAGAAUAAGCACCGGCUAACUACGUGCCAGCAGCCGCGGUAAUACGUAGGGUGCAAGCGUUAAUCGGAAUUACUGGGCGUAAAGCGUGCGCAGGCGGUUUUGUAAGACAGGCGUGAAAUCCCCGGGCUCAACCUGGGAGUUGCGCUUGUGACUGCAAGGCUGGAGUGCGGCAGAGGGGGAUGGAAUUCCGCGUGUAGCAGUGAAAUGCGUAGAUAUGCGGAGGAACACCGAUGGCGAAGGCAAUCCCCUGGGCCUGCACUGACGCUCAUGCACGAAAGCGUGGGGAGCAAACAGGAUUAGAAACCCGAGUAGUCC